GGAUGUGAAGGCGAUCUGGCUGCAAUAUCUGUCACCCCAUUGAUCGACAGGGUUGAUUCGGCUGAUCUGGCUGGCUAGGCAGGUGUCCCCUUCCUCCCUCACCUCCAUGUGUGUCCCUCCCGAAGCUGUGUGCUCGGUGGAGGAGGACGGCCUUCCUGGAAUAGAGACGAACACGUCUUCAGUUGAGGGUAUAUGAGUACCUGCACUCCCCUGCUAGAACCUCCAAACAAGUUCUCAAGGUUCAUAAAUAUUGACUGUCUUUAGAAUGUAGAGGAUAUAACUAUUUUCUUGAUUCUAAAUUAGAAUAACAACAAAG
ensembl:misc_RNA 7SK 7SK RNA